UCUGUCUUGGUGAGGCUGCUGGGCUGCACAGGUCUGGGAAGAUGAUAGAGCUGGAGUAGAGAAAAAGAGCCCAGAAGAGUCCUGGCCCCAUAUAAGCAAGCGUCUUCCACACCCAAGAUGGCCCCAUCAAUCAAGAUGGUCGUUGGUCACCGAAGCCUCAGUGUGGCACUCAGAAGGCAGCUCAGACCGUGCAUCACGCAGCUCUGCGAGUGAGGACGACGGGGAACAGACAUGGCCUGGAUAAAAUGAUGCCUCUUCACCGCUGAGCUUCAGGCUGCUGCAAUCUCCGAGUCAGUGAGUUUUAAGCCUGGCUGUGCGUGAGAAUGAAAAGACCCCACUGUCCAAAACACGGACAUGGGCUGCAACACGGUCUCCAGGGCUGUUAUCAA